rnacentral:rRNA from 1 species
UACGUAGGGGGCAAGCGUUGUCCGGAUUUAUUGGGCGUAAAGAGCGUGUAGGCGGUCAGGUAGGUCCGUUGUGAAAACUCGAGGCUCAACCUCGAGACGCCGAUGGAAACCAUCUGACUAGAGUCCGGAAGAGGAGAGUGGAAUUCCUGGUGUAGCGGUGAAAUGCGUAGAUAUCGGAAGGAACACCAGUGGCGAAAGCGGCUUCCUGGUCCAGCACCGACGUUCAGGCACGAAAGCGUGGGGAGCAAACAGG